AGUUCCGGCUCCUUCCGGGUCGUAGCCGAGCCUGGAGGGCGGUUGCCGUAGAAACCGCGGCUAUGGCGGCACAGGGUCCGGCGAGUGGUCGCACCGCCCAGCGCGAGGAGCCCGCCGGCUCCACAGAGUCGUCGGACACUGUGCGGACGUCAGUGCCCAUCGUGUCCACCGUGUCCCCCGAGCCACCCUUUUCGCCAGGACAGGGCGUGGAGCCUCCGGGCAAGAACCUGUGGGAGCAGAUCUGCGAGGAGUAUGAAGCUGAGCUGCCUCCCUUUCCAGAGGGAUGUAAAGUCAAACAAGAAGCUAUGAUUUCUGUUUCACCAUUAGAGGAAACGGUUCUCCAUGGCUUCAAUACAGAGCACGUUUAUUCAGCUCCUCAUUUGACCAUGGACUCGCAUGUACUCUGUCCUCAAGUCAAGUUGGAAACAGUUGAUCCAAAAACCUGUUCCCCCAAGGAAUAUCUGGAAACAUUCAUCUUUCCAGUUCUGCUUCCUGGAAUGGCUAGCCUGCUUCACCAAGCAAAGAAAGAAAAAUGUUUUGAGAGAAAAAGAACCAAAUUCAUUGCCUGUGAUUUUCUGACUGAGUGGUUAUACAAUCAAAAUCCAAAGAGGAUGGGGGUGGCUUUCACAGAAUUCUUCUCCAUUCCCUUUGUGGACCAGUGGCUGAAGCAUCACCCCCGGCCGCCGGUCCCACUGUCCCUCCUGCUGACAGAGGAAGAGGCAGCGCUGUGCAUUCAAUCCUUCUGGAGAGCCUAUCUGCUGUCUGGAUAUUGUGAAUGAAGUCUGUCCUCUGAGCACUCUCCCUUCUGAAGUGUGGCUGGUGAUAAGCUGCAUUACCACAUCAAUGGUGCUCUUCUGCUGCUGAAACACAGGCUGUUCAGCCUGGACUCCAGCAUGGCGUAUAAUCUUCCCCGCUCCCAGGACCAACGUCCCCUCCAGGCACUGUGACGGCUGACAAUCACAAAGCCCAUCAAUCAUCGCUGCUUUUGUUCGUUUGGUGAACAAUACAGUGCAAGGUUGCUCCAGCAGCCCCUUUGUGGCUUUGCAAAAAAAAACAAAAAAACAAAACAAACAAAAAAAACCCCCAAAACUGGCCAUCCCGAUUUCCACCUGCUGAGAACAAUGAGAAUCUGUGUCUUUAUACCUUUGUCUGUCACAAGCUGGGGUGGAUGAGGCACCCCCCGAGGAGAAACAGCUAGCUGUGAACAAAGAGUACAGGUUUAGAAUGGGACAGUCCCCGUCCAUCCCCAGACCCUAGAAUAUUGCCUCCCUCUGGCUACAGGGAUUGAUUCAUGAUGGGCAGGGGACUUAAAUCCGUCAUACCUAGUCAAAGGUAUGUGGGAGUCUCAUAGGAGUUGUUGAGACGGAGCAGCUUGCUUUGCCUGGGGGUUAGCUGGGAGGUCAGGCUAUCCGCAAAGGUCUUGCCACUGAGUGAAGAAACUGACCGAAAAGAGAAUGCGGAGGCCAGAGAGCUGGGAGCCGGGAGAGGGCUGACCCUUGAAGGCCACGGAGCCCUGGAUUCAACAGUGCCAGUGAGUCUCUUCAUACAGGCUUCUGUCACAAUCUGGAGUCCUGACAAUGAUCGUUUUCAAGACAGAAAGUUCUAGGCUCUUGACUGCUUGCAUAUGAAGGAGGAUAUUGGUACAAAAUAAAAAUCUGGGUCCACUCGUGCAGGGAAACCAUUCCAGUUUGUCCCAGAGGACUGUAGCCUGUAUCGACUUGCCCUUAGCUGGAGAGGGGAAGCCUAACCCAAGGAGAAGUUUUUCUAAAACAUAUCUGUUAUUUUUAUUGUUCAAGUAAUACAUUUCCAUUGUGGGAAAAAAAGAAAAGGAUAGAAGUUUCUUUAAAAAUGUUAAUGUAUUCAUCCUUCUGGAAUUUUUCCUGUUCAUAGAGGAAUUUUUUAAAGCAAAAUUGUGAUGAUAAAAACUGUUUUGCGGGGGCGCCUGGGUGGCUCAGU